UCAGAAUUCCCUUGGGUUUAGAUGAAUGUUUUCAAAGGGCUAACUGGAAGGACCCUAAUAUAAAAGAUGCCAAGGGCCAUCACACAAAAAUAAGGGAAUCCUGGAAGGAGUAUCAUGGUUGUUAUUGAAUACGGGUUGCUACAGAGACAGCAGAGAAGACUGACUUGAGAAACGUUUGGAAAAAAUAACUCAACAUUGGAAGUUGUUGGUACAUUCAUGAAGGCACACUGCUACAUACCCCAAUAACAGAUGAAUAAGGUCUGCUCCGUACCCCGAAAAAGCUCACAGGCCAGAGCACGAGGAAUGACAUCUUCCAGGAGAGAAACAACACAGCAGAAAGGUAGACCUGAGGUCCAGCCCAGUCCUGCUACAUGGUAAUUGGACACCUUGCACAAAUUACCUAUACCCUUAGAGCUCUGGGUUCUGAACACCUACUUCACAAAAUUGCUGGGGAUUAAAUGAGAUGGUGUUAGAAGCUUUAGAGCUCCCAUCUUUAAGAGUGCACACAAUAAAUGUAAGUCAAUAUGAGGAUGAUCUUCUAAGGAGUUAAAAUGUGAAAAAUAGGGGUGCCUGGGUGGCUACGUCGGUUAAGCGUCUGACUUCAGCUUAGGUCAUGAUCUCGCUGU